GUUUUCUAAGUGAUCAGAACAAUUGUUUGUGUCUUUAAUUUCUGCUUUCUGUGAAAAGCAUAUAAAUAGAUGCCAUCAGCUCAACUGAGAUCAGAAGUCUGAAGAGCUUUUAUUCCACUUGGUAUCACCACUGCACCACUCCACAGCAGACACCAGCUCAGUCUCUUGGGUAGCAUUAGAACUCUUUUCUGUGUUUCCCUAUAGCAAGUCAACUCACAAUCUGUUCUUGAAAACACAAGGCUUUUUGUAAACAAUUGCCCCCUUUGGAUUUUUUUUUUUUCAUAUCCCUUACUCAAAAUAUUUUCUCUUUCUAUUCACUGAGUUGAAUUUCUUAAUUUUCACCUACUUUUCAUUCUUGCCCCUUUUCCUAAUUCCAAUCAUUUUCAAAAUCAGUAAUGCUGAAGGAUGGCAAAGAAAACCAGUAGAGAUUAUCCCCCUAAAAAAUAUAAAAAAGAUCCAUUCAGAAAGCCAGGAAACAAAAUCAACAAGGAGAGCUUUGGGCUUUCUGUUUUGCUCGGGAAAGUUGUCGAUUCCUUUUGCACCAAGUGCUGGGCCUGAUUCUUCUCCGGCAGAGUGCAGCCAAGAAUUACAAAGCGAGUCAACAGACAGUGGAACUGAGUUCAUCUGAAAAGUAGCCAGAAAAAGCCUCGGGCUAUGUUCGAGGUGUCCAUUUUUAGAAGGAAAUUUGCUCAGGCAGAGGAAUACCAGCAUAUUCAGGGUCAAAAAGCAGACUGUGUGACAAGAGAGAAAUUGGAGAAGACUGAGAUAAUGCCCAAUUAGAUCAUGCAGUUCACCUCCCUGGGACCCAUGACAGACUGGUUUGUGUCAUUCUUCAGGAACAGAGGAAGGGUGAAGUGUAGAAGACAUGAAAGAAACAAAAUGAACAGUAGACAUUAAGAUGAUGGCAUAAAGAGGUGACCCAUCACACAAGGACCUGGUGCAUGAUCCAACAGAGGAACCUGAUAUUUCUUUGCUGCAGCAGACAGGCUUGCAAGACAGGACCAGAGUGAUGAAGCAAGCUCCUGUGUGAGAUUCCCAGAAGUGUCAAAGUAGAUUCUCCAGUUGGACAAAUGGAAGAAGAUGAAAGAAAGGGAUAUUCAAAAGCAAUUUCAGAUGCCAUGGCUGCCCGGAGCCCAAGAGGAGAACAUGCAGCAACUGACUGGCUCUGCAGCAUCACCAGUGCAUGUGUCCUA